rnacentral:rRNA from 1 species
AGAGUUUGAUCAUGGCUCAGGACGAACGCUGACGGCGUGCUUAACACAUGCAAGUCGAACGGGAUCCAUGGAGUAGCAAUACUCCGGAAGAUCUAGUGGCGAACGGGUGAGUAACACGUGAGCAACCUGCCCCAAAGACUGGGAUAACCCCGGGAAACCGGAGCUAAUACCGGAUGCCCUCAUCGGGUCGCAUGGCCUGAUGAGGAAAUGAAUUUCGCUUUGGGAGGGGCUCGCGGGAUAUCAGCUUGUUGGUGGGGUAACGGCCUACCAAGGCUUCGACGUCUAGCUGGUCUGAGAGGACGAUCAGCCACACUGGGACUGAGACACGGCCCAGACUCCUACGGGAGGCAGCAGUGGGGAAUCUUGCCCAAUGGGCGAAAGCCUGAGGCAGCAACGCCGCGUGUGGGAUGACGGCCCUCGGGUUGUAAACCACUUUCAGCAGGGACGAAAUUGACGGUACCUGCAGAAGAAGCUCCGGCCAACUACGUGCCAGCAGCCGCGGUAAUACGUAGGGAGCGAGCGUUGUCCGGAUUUAUUGGGCGUAAAGGGCGCGUAGGCGGUUAAGUAAGUCGGAUGUUAAAUCUCCAAGCUCAACUUGGAGCUGCCAUUCGAAACUGCUUUGACUUGAGUCUGGUAGGGGAACACGGAAUACCUGGUGUAGCGGUGAAAUGCUUAGAUAUCAGGUGGAACACCAGUGGCGAAGGCGGUGUUCUGGGCCAGUACUGACGCUGAUGCGCGAAAGCGUGGGGAGCGAACAGGAUUAGAUACCCUGGUAGUCC